rnacentral:rRNA from 1 species
GCGUUCCAUUAGCUUGUUGGCGGGGUAACGGCCCACCAAGGCAUCGAUGGAUAGGGGUUCUGAGAGGAAGGUCCCCCACAUUGGAACUGAGACACGGUCCAAACUCCUACGGGAGGCAGCAGUGAGGAAUAUUGGUCAAUGGGCGCUAGCCUGAACCAGCCAAGUAGCGUGAAGGAUGACUGCCCUAUGGGUUGUAAACUUCUUUUAUAUGGGAAUAAAGUGCAGUAUGUAUACUGCUUUGCAUGUACCUUAUGAAUAAGGAUCGGCUAACUCCGUGCCAGCAGCCGCGGUAAUACGGAGGAUCCGAGCGUUAUCCGGAUUUAUUGGGUUUAAAGGGAGCGUAGGCGGGUUGUUAAGUCAGUUGUGAAAGUUUGCGGCUCAACCGUAAAAUUGCAGUUGAUACUGGCAUCCUUGAGUACAGUAGAGGUAGGCGGAAUUCGUGGUGUAGCGGUGAAAUGCUUAGAUAUCACGAAGAACUCCGAUUGCGAAGGCAGCCUGCUGGACUGUAACUGACGCUGAUGCUCGAAAGUGUGGGUAUCAAACAGGAUUAGAUACCCUGGUAGUCCACACAGUAAACGAUGAAUACUCGCUGUUUGCGAUAUACAGUAAGCGGC